rnacentral:rRNA from 1 species
AAUGGGGGAAACCCUGAUCCAGCAAUGCCGCGUGAGUGAAGAAGGCCUUAGGGUUGUAAAACUCUUUCACCCGUGAAGAUGAUGACGGUAGCGGGAGAAGAAGCUCCGGCUAACUCCGUGCCAGCAGCCGCGGUAAUACGGAGGGGGCUAGCGUUGCUCGGAAUUACUGGGCGUAAAGCGCGCGUAGGCGGCGCACCUAGUGAGGCGUGAAAUCCCCGGGCUUAACCCGGGAACUGCGUUUCAUACUGGUGUGCUAGAAUCCGAGAGAGGGUAGUGGAAUUCCCAGUGUAGAGGUGAAAUUCGUAGAUAUUGGGAAGAACAUCAGUGGCGAAGGCGGCUACCUGGCUCGGUAUUGACGCUGAGGUGCGAAAGCGUGGGGAGCGAACAGGAUU